GUGAGAAACUAACCUCGAGAUGAGAUUUCCCAUUCGUCAGAAGUAAGACCCCUGAGAGACGAUCAGGUAGAUAGGCUAGAAGUGGAAGUGUAGUGAUGCAUGGAGCGGACUAGUACUAAUAGGUCGAGGACUUAACCAAG
rnacentral:rRNA from 1 species